AACUGCUUUUAUGCGGGUAUAAAGGAGCAUACGUGUAUGUUUUUGCAGUUACCGCAUGAAUAAGGACCGGCUAAUUCCGUGCCAGCAGCCGCGGUAAUACGGAAGGUUCUGGUGUUAUCCGGAUUUAUUGGGUUUAAAGGGAGCGCAGGCUGUCAGAUGAGCGUGUUGUGAAAUGCGGUUGCUCAACAUCCGCACUGCAGCGCGAACUGUUUGACUUGAGUACGCACGACGUUGGUGGAAUUUGCCGUGUAGCGGUGAAAUGCUUAGAUAUGGCGAAGAACUCCGAUUGCGAAGGCAGCUGACGGGAGCGCUACUGACGCUCAUGCUCGAAAGUGCGGGUAUCGAACAGGAUUAGAUACCCUGGUAGUCC
rnacentral:rRNA from 1 species